UACGUAGGGUGCGAGCGUUAAUCGGAAUUACUGGGCGUAAAGCGUGCGCAGGCGGUCUUGCAAGACAGGUGUGAAAUCCCCGGGCUCAACCUGGGAACUGCAUUUGUGACUGCAUGGCUAGAGUACGGUAGAGGGGGAUGGAAUUCCGCGUGUAGCAGUGAAAUGUGUAGAUAUGCGGAGGAACACCGAUGGCGGAAGGCAAUCCCCUGGACCUGUACUGACGCUCAUGCACGAAAGCGUGGGGAGCAAACAGG
rnacentral:rRNA from 1 species